rnacentral:rRNA from 1 species
CCUACGGGUGGCAGCAGUGGGGGAUAUUGCACAAUGGGGGGAACCCUGAUGCAGCGACGCCGCGUGGGUGAAGGAGUGCUUCGGCAUGUAAAGCCCUAUCGGCAGGGAAGAAGCAAGACGGUACCUGACUAAGAAGCCCCGGCUAACUACGUGCCAGCAGCCGCGGUAAUACGUAGGGGGCGAGCGUUAUCCGGAUUCACUGGAUGUAAAGGGAGCGUAGACGGCCAUGCAAGCCAGGGGUGAAAGCCCGGGGCCCAACCCCGGGACUGCCCUUGGAACUGCAUGGCUGGAGGGCGUGGGGGGCAGGCGGAAUUCCGGGUGUAGCGGUGGAAUGCGUGGAUAUCAGGAGGGA